CCUACUCCCCAUUUUACACAAAUUACAUCCCUUCAGAAACACAUAUACCCACACACACUCUGCAUUCAUUAUACACACGCACACUCUGCAUUCAUUAUAUUCACACACUACACGUACACUCUGCAUUCAUUAUUUACACACACUAUACAAACACGCACACUCUGCAUUCAUUAUUUACACACACUAUACAAACACGCACACUUUGCAUUCAUUAUAUACACAAACUAUACAAACACACACACUCUGUAU